UGCAGUUCACGAGACAGCAACAGGUCGGCUUCCAAAUAUUCGAGCUAAAACUACAAUCACGCGUCUGUAAAACUUUCUAUACUCGGGGGAGAGAGAGAGAGAGAGAGAGAGAGAAAGAGACACACAUUACGCUUUAAGAAAUUAAGCUGACAGCUACAGCGUGCAUUACAAUGUUUCUGGUGUAAUUUCUUAGAAAUUUACCCGGAAGUGAUUUUGGUAGUAUGUCCUCUUUUUGCCGGAGAGUUGUUCAACAGAGAAGCAUGGCUGUGUUUUCAUCUGUCAUUGAGGAAGCAAGCAGCGUAGAAUAUUAUUCGGAAAGACAUGCUAGUUCUAAAUCGAUUACGGCCAGCUGUCUCUUCUCAAGCUCACAGUAUAUGCUUGGGGAAUACUAGGCAUUCGUUUUCUAAAUCGCUGAAAUCGACAACAGCAACCUGUUCUGAUUUCCAACCAGCUUUCUUAAAUGAAAAUUACACUGACAGUUCGACAAGACACAAUCUCCCACUUCCACGUUUUUGGAAAUGUUUGGAAACACGACAGUAGGCGACCGCUGCCAGGCUGUUUUUAACAGCACCGCCACACUGUCCCCAGGACUUUCUGCACAGUUUCAAAAACGCAGAAGUGUUGGAAUUGCGGGGAAAGUCUGCAACAAACUCACACUUACUUCUGCACGACGUGCAAAGUUCUUCAGCCGUCCGAUGAGGACAGGAACUACUUCGACAUAAUGGACUGACAGAUUGCAAGAGUUGAUCAGAGACGUCCGUGAGUCGUUCAGCAAAGGUACUUUUUAUAUUUACAGGGUAUCGCAAAUGAAUCUGUUUAGGGGUGGGUCAUGUAUAUAAUUUAACUGAAUCAAAUCAUGGUCAUCAAAUUAAUCUGGGUAUUGAUUUUUUUUGUCAGAAUGAGAAUGUGUGGGACUUGAGAAUAAACACAUCAUAUUCCAGUGCUCACUGGUUAUAAAGUGGCUCUUUGUAACAUGGACAAGGUUAUAAGACGGUAUGGUCAUGGCUCAUAUUUUGUCCACAAUGCCAUUACACUAGCACUUGCUUUUUUGCAAAGGGGAUCAUGGUAUCACCUUGUGUUUUCCUGUCGAGAUUAAAAAGGUCUGUGAACAAUUGUCUCUGAAAUGCUCUACACAUUAAAAGCAGCUUGGUUUUUGGUUCAGUCUCAUGGAUAAAGCCUAAGAGCAGGUGGACACUGCCUGCUGUAUGAUCCCAUAGACUCCCAUAGAGGUGUAUGCUAAUACCCUACACACUGUCACACAGUAAGGAAGUUGAUGGACAGCUGCUGUUAACUUUGAAUCUUACAGGGAGUUGGUAGUUUUCCUCCACAGUCUCUUCCCUGAUCCUUGCGAAGAAUUCUGGGACCAUAUUCUGUAUCUCCAACUGGAGCCACCCAGUAUAUUUCCAUUCAAAAGGUGGCACUGUGGGGCUGAACUGAAGCAGGAGACCUUAAAAAGGCAAAGAUGCUUCUGGCUAAAAUGAAAUACUUUGUCAACGUUGAGGACAAGGUGAAGGAAAAGCUCUCUUCAUCCUGAGUGUCGACACAGCCUGGCUCUGCACUUACUAGAUCUUUUUUUUUUUUUUUAAUAUCAUGAUGAUGCUAUUUAAAUUAAAAUUAUUUAUAAUACUGGAAUACUGCUACAUUUUAAACUUAAAAAGUUAUUUAAUUAAAGUGGCUGUAGCUCAUGAAAUGCCUUCAUAAAUACUGCCUGUUGUGCAAUUCUGUUGAGUAUAUCGGUCGCAAAUGUGCAGCUUUGAUAGAAAGAUGAUGUAGCAAAUGCAUAUUUUCAUUUUAAAGCAUGGCAUCUUAUUGGUAAAAGAAUGUUCUCAGGUUGCUUGCCUCACUUCCAGGAAAUGUCUUACAAUUGCACUUCCUGGCUCAGUUCACCCCAGCAUUGUCUUUGGGCUCUUAACGGCUGCAAAGGAUGUCAGUCGUUUGGGGAAGCAGCUGAUUGGUUACUAACAGGAAAGACGACCCAGAAGAGGUGGGCUCAAUUAUACUCUCCAGAUAAAAUGACCUUGAACGUGCAAGACAGCAAGGUCUGCAAUGAGAGGUGUAUUUAACCUACUGUGAUUGCAGAUACAAAUACGCUAUUGAUAAGAUAUAUAGAUUGCAUUCAAAACUUCACAAUAGAGGUCUACUAAAUAGUGGAUGUGCAUUGCAUGCAACAUGCACAGCAUUGUUCUGUUAGCUGGAAUCACUGUAAUGUUAGAAGUACACUGCUUUGUUGCAGUACAAAAAAAAAAAAAUCUGCUUGACCAGUUUGACGUUUUUUAAAAUGUAUUUGUUCAUUUUUUAAAGACUUAUUUUUGUGGUCCAGAUUUGAUACAAAUCAAAUAUCAUUGCUUGUUUUAAAAUAUUGUACAAAGCUAGAUUUUCAAUACCUGGAUGUGUCGCAUACAAAAAAAAAAGGUUUAUUAAAUUACUUUCUAUUUAAGACCAGAAGUACAAAGACAAAGGCUUGUGAAUUCAUCAGAACUAAAAUCGAAGAUUGUCAUGGCUUCUUGAGAGAGAAACACUUAAAAGGGUCUUUUUAAACUGCUAAUUAGAAGUACUGGCACACAUAACAAUUAUAAAUCAUUUCAAACUUUACGUUAGGGGUGAAUAUAUUAGCAUUUGAUAUCACUAGAACUCUUUUAUUAUUCUUGCUGAAGGUCUUGCAUACUAAAUCAAAUAUGUUUAAAAGCAGGAAUGCAGAUUUCUAAACACAACCUGUAAUUCUCAAUUCCUGUCUUACUGCUCCCCUGGACAGUUCAUUUAUGCAGGUUCAGUUAUUUUCUCUUGCCUCCACAUCUUUUCAUUUCACCUCCUGCUCCUGCUCCUCUGUAACUCAGGACCCCCUGUUGAUUCUUUCGCCCUUGUGGCUCUCAAGGUCAAAGAAAAAGAACAGUGAACUCAUAUCUCAUGUUUUGUUUAAGUUUUUGCUGUAUAUUUAAUACAUUAGAGCAUACAUAUAUACAAGUACAGUCGAUGUAAUUAUAACAGCAAUUACAACACAGUAUUUGAAGCCCCUUCUGUAGAUUUUCAUUGUCAAAACCUCAUUAAUCGUAGUGUAAUACAAAUAAAACAAAUACAACUUUCACUGAGACAUAUGCAACUUUUGCAUAACAAAAACAUGCAAACUCUAAAGUUCUGUUACUUUGGCAUAAUAAUAUUUCCUCUGUAUGUAAAUGGUAAAUACAAGCAUCCUUAGUAAUAAUGCAUUUUUAGUACUAUAUAGACUAACAAGCCUCUGAAUUGCCAAAUUCCGUGAUCUACGUUUAAGAGUAUGGCAAGCAGCCCAGAACUAACUUCUCUUUAAUACAUUUGUGGGGUUUGUUGUCAACAGUAUGACUUAUGCAAAUGUUGUUUCAACUUAGAUGAAUUUUGUUUUGCUAAAAAGCUUAAAUGUAUGCUUUAUAUUACCUGCAUGUUCAUAAUAUUUAAUGUCUUAGCUGUUUAAUAUCCUAUUUUGAGUGCGUUGCGUGAAUCUUUGUGGCUGCUUAACUAUUCCAGCAUCAUAUGCAUUCAGUGCACACGGCUGCUAAGCCUACUGUCUAUUCCAGCAUCAUUAUUUAUCAAUAUACAUCCAGUGCACAAUGCUGUGUUGAAGGCUUUCUGCUCACGGCGUACCGCUAGGCUUUUAGUAAAAAUGUUUACAAUAACUCAAGCCUGCCUUUAGUCUAUUAGUAGGCUGUUUUCAAAGCCUUGGCCAAAAAACAAAGAUACAAAUUGUCAUGCAAAGUCCAUUGAAUCUUUAUACUUAGUUUGGGGAAAGAGAGAGCAGGGAGCGACACAGACCAGCUGCAGUCUUAUUCAUUAUUCACCAACUAAUCACAAAACAUCUUUCUUGUUGACUCUAAAUGACUGAAAACACGACAGCUCAAAUGAGUACCCACCGUUAUCUAUCAGGACUCUUUGAAAAUGAAGUACAAAAAUAAACCAGAGCCACCUGUAGAUUAUUCUUGGGUGGAGUAGCACUGGUAAAUGAACUGCGAGAGUAUCUGUGUUCAGUAAGACAAUAUGAAGAUAACAUGUUUCAGAGGCAGGGGCUUUGCACCAGAAUACCCAAGCAUGGCUCUACUGCUGACUGCACUGCCAACAUUGUUUAUAAUCUAGUCAGUGUUUAAGAUGCUUUGCUUGUUGUUUGUAAUCAAUAGUGCAGUGGUUCCCAACUCUGGCCCAUGUGCUGGUCCAGGAUUUUGUACCAGCCAAAGCCUGAAUUAAAUGAAGUGUCCCACAGCUAGUCCAGUUAACUCAGGGGUGUCCAAUCCUGGUCCCUCCUGUUUUUUGUUCCAAUUGUGUCCCAAGUUACUUAAUUGUACCAAUUAUUGUUCUAAUUAAGUAAUUUAGGGCACAGUUGGAACAAAAACCAGCAGGACAUCAGCCCUCUAGGACCAGGAUUGGACACCUCUGAGGUAACUACUUUAGUACCUGGUUGGAAUAAAUAUCUGGACUGGACUAGAUCUAGAGGUCUGGCGUUGGGAACCACUGCGAGUGUGUUUAUUAAAUAAUUGAGAAUGUGUUCAUUCUCUUGGCAAAAUGGUUUUGCAGGGGAAUUCUCCUCUGUUUUGCAAAAACCUGUAAGAAGAAAUUCUCAAACCAAAACUGCUCGUUCCCCAACCACAGAGAUGUAGGGUUAUUAUAGAGAAACAAUUUCAACACAACAUUUCUCUGUCAAUUAAUAUACAGAUAACAGAAACGCUGGAGCCUGAUAUAAGCCAUACAAUAAUUUAUAUUGCAUUUGUUAAGCAUUUUCCAUGCUUUGUCACUUGUUCUUUGCCAUGCUUUCAUUCUGUUUCUACUGUUUUAUGAUACUUUGGCUUUUAUACCUCAGUACACUUUUAAAAAGGGCUUGUGGGGGCUUAUCUCAUGCAGUGGAAUGAGAAAGACGAAGAGUAAUUUGAAGAUGAUGUUUAAUGUUUUUAAGAAAAGGAAAACUAGAAGCCUAAUUGCUUACCAAGUAUUAAAGCUUACAAGGCAGUGGGGUUUCAGAUUGUUUUAUAGAAUUGUAUUAGUUUGCUGGCUUAAUAAGAUGAUGUGUAACACAAACAGCGAGUGGGACGCUGAUUGAUGUUCUUUGGGAAGCUUUCCCACAGGGGCUUUUCAAUUUCACCCAGCAUCAAUUACCAUAUCUAAGAAAGUACGAGCUUGCAAAGCAUUUGGAGCGAGGGCAAGAACAGUGCAUCAGUGUUGUUAGUUAAAUCAGAAUGAACUCGCCAGUUUUGAAGACAGAUAAACAUGGCAUUCAGAAUUUCUCUUUUUCUCUAAAAAACAUGGUUUCAUAACUGUUGACUUUUAUGAGAAGCAGCUCGCUAAAAAAAGAGAAUGUCAUUACACUUCUAUCUGUUUGUGUUUAAUCUUACAACAGUAUAUUUAAAUGUCCAGGUUUAGCAUGCUGCUUAUCUCUUUCUAAAGAGAUGUUCAGAAGUCAUGAUCAUUUCAUGUAUAUGUCGGUGAGAACAAGUGAAAGCAUUUCAGUUUGCCAUGUAGCAACAGAGGCAUUCCAAGCUACUGAACCCAGAAGGGAAGGACCAAGCUUGGGAAAUCUCCACCUGGAUUCAGUGACUGCCUGACCUCUAAUGGUGGCUGCAAGCUAUGAGGCAAACUAGCCCCACCAGAACCUCACAUGAACGCUCCCUGUGGGUGAUUGGAAACUUGGCACGAGUCAUAUUCAAGCCUGUUUUCAAGUAGAGCAAGUGUGUCUACACCUAAUAUUUAACUACAGCUAUUAAAAAAUAAUAAUAAUAAUAGUAAUAAUAAUAAUAAUAAUAAUAAUAUAAUAAUAAUAAUAAUAAUAAUCCCCUUCAUUAUAAAACAUGUAAUUUCAGUGACCAAUAUCCUUGUCUCCGGAUUGGUAAGAAGUAAUCUUAUAUAUACAUAGUGAUUAAAUUAAUGUAUUAUGCAUCUCUACAAGUUCAAGAAGAACUAGCCUUUUCCACAAUCUCACAGCAGUUUCCGUGCCAACAAAAUCCUUGCUGUUUCUUAAGUCACAACAAACAGCCGCUGAUUUUAAAUUACCGUAUUUGCGAAAUUCCUGCUGGUAAAAAGUGUGCAUUGUAAAUGACGUGAUACUUUUUUAAAGGGGCUAAUAAAACCAAGGUCCUGGAGAUGGACGAUUACAGCUGAGUUAAAUAAGCUUUACAUCUAUCAGUCGUUUUUUCAUACUUUAAAGAACCUCAGCCUGAAAACUCGGCUCUUUGCAUUCCAUACGCAUUCCAUGGAAACCUGCCGUUGUCUCUAUUUGCAUGUGCACAAUGUAGGUGUCCAGCCUGCCUGCGUUGCGUCUGCAAUUUAAAAAACAGACAACUUGAUAGUGCUUUAGAGAGAUACUGUUGCUUCACGCUACAGCGUGGGGCUGUCAUGGCAAAGGAAAUGCUAUUUUGAGAUGUAAUGAAUAUUAGUUGACUGUAUAGGAAAGAAAGUACCUUAAAAUUAGCAAAAUUGUGCAGGUGGGACGGAAUAAAAUUCAACAAACAUGAAUAAAAAAACAAGCAUCUGGCAAAAGACACUAUUGUAGUCCAACUUGGGCAGAAACAGCUUCCAUAGUAUUCCCAUCUUACAUACCUGCACUUUCAUCCAGUGGCAGAUUUAGAGUCAUGUGUUCCACAGAGCUCCUGUUAAGGCACAUUGGCAUGAAUACAGCAUACUGGUAAUAAUCAUAUUGUAAUUAAAUGUGCUGACAUGUGACUUGAAAUCUUGUUUUGUUGGGUAUGUAUGACAAAACCUAAGGUUACAUUUCAAUAAAUUAAUUCAAAGUAAUGGUGAGUUCACACUUGAUUGUUAAUCUUUGACAUAAUUUGCAAUGUCUCUCAGAGAUGGGAAAUGUCACCUGUUUCAGGAAAUGUGCUGGUUAGUGCUUGCCACUGCAAGGGUUUCUGAAAUGGAGCAGGGAGAUUAUUAAAAACGCGCACACACACACACACACACACACACACACACACACACACACACACUGCCUUGAGAGUUUUUGUCUGCAUUUUUACUGUAAUUGCGUUAGACAAGAUUGUACCCAAAUAAAUCAGUGCUGUCAGCACUUCAGUAGGUCCUGACUGAGGAAGCAUUUUCUCAUUGGCUUUCAAAGCCUUAUAGUUGACUAAGAAGCAUUACCUCUGAGUCUAACGGAAACCAUGCUCUUUAACUGAGCAAAAAAAAAGCUGCAAAAACCUUGAUGUCAGGUAUUCUGGAUUACAUGCAACUAAGAGUUAUUCUCUGUAGUAUUUGGCAAUUUGUUUUUUCACCAUGCUAACACAUUAAGUAAUUGAAGCACCUACUACUCCCCCCCCCAAAAAAAGACCACCAAUUAUUGCUCAAAAUCUAUUUUCUUAAAACUGCAUUUAACAUUCUCUAAAGUAUUCAUUAAGUCUGUCGAUGCUGUGUUAAUUUCA